AUGGGAAUUCUUACCCUAUCUGGCC
rnacentral:piRNA from 1 species